CCGACGUUGGCACCCAGAACCUCCUGGCUCUGCCACAGUGGCGUAAGGGAGCUCAGUGCUUGUUUACAAGUGCCAUGAGGCAAGUUCCCCUUCCACGUCGUCGAAGAGUAAGCCUGUCCCCGGCGCAUUUGGUGCUGGCGUGGACAGAGCCUCGCAUAUCCGUGCUGCUUCCCAGAGUCUUUCUGACACUGACUGGGGGGACUGACCAUGCAAGGAACAUUA
rfam:Branchiostoma floridae genomic scaffold BRAFLscaffold_216, whole genome shotgun sequence.